CCUAGGACAUGGCAAUUUACAUUUAAGCUUAACUUACAACAAUAAUGCGAUUUUAAAAUUGGCGGGCUGUUAACAUUAACAUUACAUUGACAUUAGCAUUACAUUAACAUUAACAUUAUAGCAUGAAACUAAUGGUCUGGCAGCCCUUAUGUGUCAAUCACAGGAUUAACGUACAUAAAUCAGCAAGUGGUCACAAACAGAUAAGUACUGGAUCAUCGUCGUCGUCUGGAGCAGUGUGUUUGGCACGGUGCGCAACCGUACGGCGCUGGAUGAGCGCGUGUGUAAGGUGCGGCAGGAGACGUGGACAAUGCACAGCGCCGUGCAGAGUGGAUGGAGCGAUCGCCGUGGUCCUCCAGGUGGCCCGGGAUUCGGCCAAAUUUGUGUGGCGAUGGUUGCCAGCAGCCAUGAAGUGCAGGAAAACCACCCCUGCGUGGAUUCGGAUGCGCCAUGUGUGCAGCGCAAGCGUGUCCAAAUUUGCAUUCAUGGCCAACCAGCAGCCGUGAUGACUCUCGUCCGCGGAGCCCUUCUGGAGGCCGGAUGCCGUGGUGACGCCCAUGAGGAAGGAUCAGAGGAGCAACUAGGGGUGUCGCCCGGUGUCGCAAGCGUGUUUGUACACGCUUCAGGUACAACGACAAUGUCCACCUAAGGAACAUUGGACUUGCUGCGGCCGGAUUGCGGCGUCCCAAUAAUCGGCGCCUUGCUGCACCAAAGUGCGGAGUGACUGUGGCGGUGUGUGCAAUGUGCCGGCCGGCAUCAUCGUCGUUGUUGUGGUCGUCGUCAUCUGAGAUGGAUUGGACAUCGGUGAUGAUUUGGACGUCGUCGUCG